GACGAACGCUGGCGGCGUGCUUAACACAUGCAAGUCGUACGGUAAGGCCCUUUCGGGGGUACACGAGUGGCGAACGGGUGCGUAACACGUGCGUAACCUGCCCACAACUUUGGGAUAACGCUAGGAAACUGGUGCUAAUACUGGAUAUGUGCUCCUGCUGCAUGGUGGGGGUUGGAAAGCUCCGGCGGUUGUGGAUGGACUCGCGGCCUAUCAGCUUGUUGGUGGGGUAGUGGCCUACCAAGGCGGCGACGGGUAGCCGGCCUGAGAGGGUGACCGGCCACAUUGGGACUGAGAUACGGCCCAGACUCCUACGGGAGGCAGCAGUGGGGAAUAUUGCACAAUGGGCGCAAGCCUGAUGCAGCAACGCCGCGGGCGGGAUGACGGCCUUCGGGUUGUAAACCGCUUUCAGCAGGGACGAAGCUUUUUGUGACGGUACCUGCAGAAGAAGCACCGGCUAACUACGUG
rnacentral:rRNA from 1 species